rnacentral:rRNA from 1 species
AUUCCAGCUCCAAUAGCGUAUAUUAAAGUUGUUGCAGUUAAAACGCUCGUAGUCGGAUUUCGGGGCGGGCCGACCGGUCUGCCGAUGGGUAUGCACUGGCCGGCGCGUCCUUCCACCCGGAGACCGCGCCUACUCUUAACUGAGCGGGCGCGGGAGACGGGUCUUUUACUUUGAAAAAAUUAGAGUGUUCAAAGCAAGCUAAAGCUCUGAAUACAUUAGCAUGGAAUAACGCGAGAGGACUCGGUCCUUAUUUUGUUGGUCUUCAAGGAUGGAGUAAUGAUUAAGAGGGACAGUUGGGGGCAUUCGUAUUUCAUUGCUAGAGGUGAAAUUCUUGGAUUUAUGAAAGACGAACUUCUGUGAAAGCAUUUGCCAAGGAUGUUUUCAUCA